UACCACUUAAUAUACCCAUUGUACAUGUCAAAUGUUCUCAAUACAUCAUGAAUGAAAACAAACUUCAAUGCUUCUAUGGAAUAAGAAUCUGUCUUCAGUAUGGCCCCUUAGGCCUGUAAUAUAACACCAGUUUACCAAAAAUACCACAAAUAAAUGUCUGAGAUGGUAAUGGUGCUAAAAUGCACACUUAGUCCCUCAGAUUUCUUAUGCUGAACACAAAUAAUGUAUUACCACGUUUAGUUUUGUCUGAAAUGCUGGCAAUACAUUUUUAUAUUUUUUUCCUACGGAAGUUAUCGCAUUACUACACCAGGACUACAUUUAUCUUGAAAUUAGAGAGACUGGCUUUCUGAAUUAGAGCACUUUUAUAGCAUUAAACAAAUAUAAAACUAGAAAAAUACAAAAAUCCACAUCCCUUGUUAAACUGGCUAAAUGAUCCAGACUGGCAAAAUACAAGCCAAAUACUUUUAUGGUACUACUGGCUUCAAUGUGAUCAUAUUGCCUACUGCCCACUCAAA
rnacentral:lncRNA from 1 species